rnacentral:rRNA from 1 species
GAUGAACGCUGGCGGCGUGCUUAACACAUGCAAGUCGAACGAAGCACUUUGAUCGAUUUCUUCGGAUUGAAAUUUUAGUGACUGAGUGGCUGACGGGUGAGUAACGCGUGGGUAACCUGCCUCACACAGGGGGAUAACAGUUGGAAACGGCUGCUAAUACCGUAUAAGCGCACAGUACCGCAUGGUACAGUGUGAAAAACUACGGUGGUGUGAGAUGGACCCGCGUCUGAUUAGCUAGUUGGCAGGGCAGCGGCCUACCAAGGCGACGAUCAGUAGCCGACCUGAGAGGGUGACCGGCCACAUUGGGACUGAGACACGGCCCAAACUCCUACGGGAGGCAGCAGUGGGGAAUAUUGCACAAUGGGGGAAACCCUGAUGCAGCGACGCCGCGUGAGCGAAGAAGUAUUUCGGUAUGUAAAGCUCUAUCAGCAGGGAAGAAGAAAUGACGGUACCUGACUAAGAAGCACCGGCUAAAUACGUGCCAGCCGCCGCCGUAAAAC